CCAAGCCUUAUGUACCAGAAGAAGCAAACAAGGGUAGGAGAGAGAGAGAGAUUUGUAGUUUCACACACUUGCCAACCUUAUCUCGCUCUCAAUCUUCUCUUAUCAUUGCUUGGUAUCACAAUUACUCGCAGCUUCCAAAAACCCUAGCUCUACCCCUGUUUGCUUCUUCGUGUUAUUAGCGCCAUGGACUCCAAGCCUUAUGUACCAGAAACGCCGUCGCAUCUCUCUAACUCAUCAGGUUCUCCUCAUUCUUCUUAUACUUCCUCGUCAUCUUCGCCUUCUUCAAAUCAUUCUGUUAUUGAUAAUUCAGUUAGGAAUUAUACUUUAGAGGUUGCUGAUCAUAAUAACAAUAACGUUAGUAGUGGGAGUAGCGAUGGGAGGUUUGUGAGUGGUGAAGAGGACGUUGAAAUGGAGACGGAGAAGCCAGUUACCCUCCGGGAAACCCCACAAAACCACUUUCGAUGGGGUGGUGCUGGUUCCGCUUUUGUUGACCCUGUGGAAUUUCCGGCACUUAAAAGUGAAGAGCCGGUAUGGACAUCAUUGGCGAAUGAAAAAGAUAAUGAUGAUAAAUAUGUUGUUGGACAGUCGAAAGUUGGGAGCCUGGAGAAGGGUGAAUUGGUUAGGGAUGAGGACAAGGGUUUAGAGAUGAUUUGGGCUCAGCGUUCUGUGGAAAAAAAUGGAAUUGAUAUUGUGGAAGGAAAGGAGGUUUCGGUGGAAAUCGGCAAGGGUCUGGAUAUGAAUUUGUUUGAGAAGGAGACUGAGAAGCUAGGAAUCGAGGGGAGUCAGUUGGAUGCAGAAGCUGCUGAAGGGAAGAAAGCAGAAGUUUAUGGGGGCGAGGCUGUUGAAGAGGGAGAGUUUUUCAGUGGUGGGAAUGAAAAAGUUGACACUGGGAAAUUUACUAGUGGAGGGGACUCGUUUCUGGAGGCUGUACGUGCCACUUUGCCAGGGUCGGGAGUGGCUGUUGUUGGAGAUGCGGAGGGAGGGAAGUAUUCUGAAAUUAAAGGAGCAGAGGUUCCAGUUGAUGAUGGUGUGCCUCCGGACAAUUGUUUUGAUAAGGUUAGUAGUGAUAUGGAAGAACCAGUUAAUUUGAAUAUUGAAACCAAGAAAAAUGUUGAAGCUAUUACUGGUUUCAAGACUGAAGUUGCAGAAGUGGACAGUAAUGGAAUGGAACAGAUUGAGACCUCAGUGGAGGUUGAUGUAGGGGAUAGAGAUGGAACUCUGGCCACUGAUUAUAUUGAGGAAACUGCACAAACACGUGCUGUUCAUGAUGUAGAACUUUAUGUGAGUGCUGCAAGCAAAAAGUUGGAAGAUGAACUAUCAGUCAAAGCUGAUUUACUUGAAUCUGCAGAAUCAAUUGCUGUUACAAAUGCGGAAUUUAAACUAGAUGCUGAAAUUGAAGAAAAGAAUCAUCAAGGUGUAGAAGGUGAGAAUGAUGGAUCGGUGACAGAUGGUGAGACUGAUGCAAUGAUUUUUGGAAGCUCUGAAGCUGCCAAAUUCUUGGAGAGGUUGGAGCAAGGUUCUGGUGCUGGUUCUUAUUCUGGUGCAGAGAAUUCUCAUGAUCAUUCACAGAGAAUUGAUGGUCAACUUGUGACAGACUCAGAUGAGGAAGUAGACACUGAUGAGGAAGGUGAGGGGAAAGAGCUGUUUGAUUCUGCUGCCUUGGCAGCCCUCUUGAAAGCAGCAACUAGUGCUGGCUCAGAGGAUGACACUGUCACUGUGACCUCUCAAGAUGGAACCAGGCUCUUUUCUGUUGAGCGACCUGCAGGUUUGGGGUCCUCGCUUCGACCUGUGAAACCUGCUGCACGACCAAAUCGGCCAAAUUUUUCAACUUCUUCCGGUCUCACAAAUGGGGGGGACUCAAAUGCCAGCUUGAGUGAAGAAGAGAAAAAGAAACUGGAAAAGUUGCAGCAGAUAAGGGUGAAAUUUUUUAGGCUUGUUCACAGACUAGGUCAUUCGCCAGAAGAGUCGAUAGCUGCACAGGUUUUAUACCGUUUGGCCCUUCUUGCAGGGAGGCAAACCAAUCAACUGUUUAGCCUUGAUGCUGCAAAGAGAGCAGCUUUGCUGCUUGAAGCAGAGGGGAAAGAUGAUUUGGACAUUUCCUUGAACAUACUUGUCCUUGGGAAAACAGGUGUGGGCAAGAGUGCUACAAUAAAUUCUAUUUUUGGUGAGGAGAAGUCCCCCAUCCAUGCAUUUGAACCUGCAACUAAUUCUGUUAGAGAAAUAACUGGUGUGGUAGGUGGAGUUAAGAUUAGGGUAAUUGAUAGCCCAGGUCUCAAGUCUUCUGGUUCAGAACAAGGGUUAAACCGCAAAAUAUUGACUUCCAUAAAGAAGUUCAUGAAGAAUUGUCCUCCAGAUGUUGUCCUUUACGUUGAUAGGCUUGACACCCAAACCAGGGAUCUUAAUGAUCUGCCAUUGCUGAGAUCCAUCACUAGUUCUCUUGGCUCUUCAAUCUGGCGAAAUGCUGUAGUUACUCUAACCCAUGGUGCUUCAGCACCUCCAGAUGGACCUUCUGGUUCCCCUUUGAGCUAUGAGGUGUUUGUUGCUCAGCGCUCUCAUAUGGUUCAGCAGUCUAUUGGGCAAGCUGUUGGUGAUUUGCGUUUGAUGAAUCCAAGUUUGAUGAAUCCUGUAUCUCUUGUAGAGAAUCAUCCUUCUUGUCGGAAAAACAGAGAUGGACAAAAGGUGCUCCCUAAUGGUCAAAGUUGGAGACCUCAGUUACUGUUGUUGUGCUACUCUAUGAAGAUUUUAUCUGAAGCAAGUUCUCUUUCUAAACCUCAAGAUCCAUUUGACCGCCGGAAGCUUUUUGGUUUCCGCACUCGUUCACCUCCCCUUCCAUACCUAUUGUCUUGGUUGUUGCAGUCCCGUCCACAUCCUAAACUCUCUGCUGACCAAGGGGUUGACAAUGUUGAUUCUGACAUUGACUUGGCUGACUUUGAUUCUGAUCAGGAAGAAGAAGAUGAUGAGUAUGAUCAGCUCCCACCAUUCAAACCUCUUAGGAAAACUCAGCUUGCUAAGCUUAGCAAGGAGCAGAAGAAAGCAUAUUUUGAGGAAUAUGAUUAUCGUGUGAAGCUCCUACAGAAAAAGCAAUGGAGAGAAGAGUUGAAGAGAAUGAGAGAGAUCAAGAAGAAAGGAAAGUUUGCUGCAGAUGAAUAUGAUUACAAUGGAGAAGAUGCUGAUCCAGAUAAUGGAGCUCCAGCUGCUGUGCCUGUUCCAUUACCUGAUAUGGUCCUGCCACCUUCAUUUGAUGGUGAUAAUCCAGCUUAUAGGUAUCGGUUUUUGGAACAAACUUCACAGAUUCUGGCAAGGCCAGUUCUCGACACCCAUGGUUGGGACCAUGAUUGUGGGUAUGAUGGUAUCAACGUUGAACAUAGUCUAGCUGUUGCUAGUCGAUUUCCAGCAGCAGUCUCUGUUCAAGUAACUAAGGAUAAGAAAGAAUUCAGCAUCCAUUUGGAUUCUUCAAUCUCUGCAAAGCAUGGGGAGAAUGGGUCUAGCAUGGCAGGGUUUGACAUUCAAAAUGUUGGGAAGCAACUUGCCUACAUCUUUAGAGGUGAGACUAAACUAAAAAAUUUCAAGGCAAACAAGACAACUGCUGGGCUAUCUGUUACAUUUUUGGGCCAAAAUGUGGCUAGUGGUUUUAAACUUGAGGAUCAAAUUGCACUUGGAAAGCGCCUGAUGUUGGUUGGUAGCACUGGGACUGUCCUUUCUCAGGGUGAUUCUGCAUAUGGAGCCAAUUUGGAAGUGCGGCUAAGUGAAGCAGAUUAUCCAAUUGGCCAGGACCAAUCCUCCCUGGGCUUGUCUUUAGUGAAGUGGAGGGGGGACUUGGCAUUGGGGGCCAACCUUCAAUCCCAAUUUUCCAUUGGAAGGAGUUCUAAGAUAGCUGUUCGAGCAGGAUUGAACAACAAGCUGAGCGGACAAAUUACUGUCCGAACAAGCAGCUCUGAACAACUUCAGAUUGCACUUGCGGGUCUUCUUCCCAUUGCAAUGUCUAUCUAUAAAAGCAUUAGGCCAGGGGUUAGUGACAAUUACUCAAUGUACUAGAUCCUGCAUUUUUUUUUUCAUUGAUGCAAUGUAUCGCAUUCAUUCAGCAUCAUAGAUUAGAUAACGUGUUGAGCUUGAUUUGGAUUUCAAUAAUGCUGAAUUUUCUUUCAUGUAGAACUUAUUGAUCUUAUCAAUAUCAGGUUCAUGUUAUAUCGCGUGAUGAAAUGUAUUAAAUAUGAGUUGGAUUCAUGAGGAAAUUAUAAUAUUUUUCUUGUUUCUUUUGCACUGUUUAAAUAUGGUGGUAUUGUGAUGCUAUUGGUGCACCAUUGCGUUUCUUGUAUGGUGAAAUUUUUCAUCUGAUGCCAAAUUUGCUAACCUGGUUUUUGUCUUAACAAAUCUAUCUAUAAGAUAUAUGAAAGGAAGACCCUAGGGUGGAUUUUUUCUCUCAGCUACUUGGCUGCACAUCUUGUGAGGAAAACUGUUUCUUUGUGAUGUGGUUGAAUGCCUUCUGAAAUUGUAUUUGCAGCCUUCCUUCUCCCUUUUUACUGCCUGCUGUCCCCCCAACUCACACCAUACCCAUCACUAAUUCAGGUUUGCAAAUAAGUCGUUUGAUGAUUUCAUAUUCCUAUGAAGUCUUGAUUUCCAUGCUUUGAUAUCAAAUAAUUAGAAAUUUUUGAAGCUUUGUUUCUAAUUCUUGCACUACCGCUGCUCUCUCCGGGUGCAAUUGAGCUUUCUAUCACUCUACUUCUGAAACUGUGAAUUGUGAUUCACUUUGUUAAAGCAGAGCAAAUUUGCAGAUAUUUUGAUGAUUCUUAACUUCUACUCACGAUUUCUGUUAAUGAUCUAAUUUUCUGUGGCCGGAGCUGCUAAGAGAGUGCAUGUACUGUGAUUUUCCCAUCCUUUAUAUUUUUGUUUAUUUUAGAUUUCAUAAAGCAAACCCAUAAAAUUUCUCCCCCUCUUUUAUGGAAAUCAAAAACGUUGUUCUCUUCGUUUACAGCGCCUCUUUCUUUAGCUUUUGGCUCUGAUUUGACUUUAAGAAGUAGAAGAAUAUUCGAAGCUUUCAGUCCCAUUAUGAUAGAGUGCUGGAGCGGAGAGUUAGGUUGGGAAUGCUGGAGAGCCUACGAAGUUGAUCAUGCGAAGGUUCGAGGGGCAGCAGUCAUCAUUAAAAAUAAGCGAAAGAUGUGUUGCCUCUUCAUCAACGAUCAAGAUGUUGGGUCGGUUGGGCUAGGUAGAACUACCCAAUGCACAGUCAACAAUCAGAUGGUGGAUGAUCCCUGAUGAUCAUUGACAUAACCCAACAAACAUCUGAAGGUUGGAUGACAAGUAUUCUCUAAAGGUUUGGAUUGUUGCCAUUAGGAAGCUGUCACUUGUCUGUCGUAAAAGAUAGUUUCUAGAUUCUUUAUUUAUUGCAAGUUUAUUGUUACGAAAGUUCUGUAUUAUGCAUAAACUGGAGGUUUAUUCUUGGGAGCCUGUAA
rnacentral:misc_RNA from 1 species